rnacentral:rRNA from 1 species
GACGAACGCUGGCGGCGUGCUUAACACAUGCAAGUCGAACGAAGUGGCGAACGGGUGAGUAACGCGUAAUCAACCUGCCCUUCAGAGGGGGACAACAGUUGGAAACGACUGCUAAUACCGCAUACUGAAGGAGGGGAUUGCGUCUGAUUAGCUAGUUGGCGGGGUAACGGCCCACCAAGGCGAUGAUCAGUAGCCGGUUUGAGAGGAUGAACGGCCACAAUGGGACUGGGAAAAGGCCCAGACUCCUACGGGAGGCAGCAGUGGGGAAGCUUCCGAAAUGGACGAAAGUCUGACGAAGCAACGCCGCGGGAGGGAUGACGGGCUUCGGGUUGUAAAGCUCUGUUAAGCGGGACGCGGUACCGGAAGAGAAAGCCACGGCUAACUACGUGCCAGCAGCCGCGGUAAUAC